rnacentral:rRNA from 1 species
AAUAGAUACCCAGGUAGUCCACGCCGUAAACGAUUAGUGCUAAGUGUUAGAGGGUUUCCGCCCUUUAGUGCUGCAGCUAACGCAUUAAGCACUCCGCCUGGGGAGUACGGCCGCAAGGCUGAAAACUCAAAGGAAUUGACGGGGGGCCCGCACAAGCGGUGGAGCAUGUGGUUUAAUUCGAAGCAACGCGAAGAACCUUACCAGGUCUUGACAUCCUCUGCCAACCCUAGAGAUAGGGCGUUCCCCUUCGGGGGGACAGAGUGACAGGUGGUGCAUGGUUGUCGUCAGCUCGUGUCGUGAGAUGUUGGGUUAAGUCCCGCAACGAGCGCAACCCUUGAUCUUAGUUGCCCAGCAUUUAGUUGGGCACUCUAAGGUGACUGCCGGUGACAAACCGGAGGAAGGUGGGGAUGACGUCAAAUCAUCAUGCCCCUUAUGACCUGGGCUACACACGUGCUACAAUGGAUGGUACAAAGAGCUGCGAACCCGCGAGGGUGAGCGAAUCUCAUAAAGCCAUUCUCAGUUCGGA